rnacentral:lncRNA from 1 species
AGAGUGAAAAUGUGCAUCUCCUUUUUCCCUUUUCCAAAUCCAGUGUCACUCUGCCACCGUGUUUGCCCAGGCCCAAGCAGAGCUGUGUCUCUCAGAGAUGGGAAGAGCUUUCCUGAAAGUUCACUCUGAGUGAUGAAGAGCACAGAGAAGGGGGAACAAGAACCUGC